rnacentral:rRNA from 1 species
CAAGUCGAGCGCGGGAAGCGGACAAUCACCCUUCGGGGUGUGCGUCCGUGGAACGAGCGGCGGAUGGGUGAGUAUCACGUGGGCAACCUGCCUGUAAGAUUGGGAUAACUCGCGGAAACGUGAGCUAAUACCGAAUGAAGUCUUUCGCCGCCUGGUGAAAGGAUGAAAGAUGGCUCUUGAGCUAUCACUUACAGAUGGGCCCGCGGCGCAUUAGCUAGUUGGUGGGGUAAAGGCCUACCAAGGCGACGAUGCGUAGCCGACCUGAGAGGGUGAUCGGCCACACUGGGACUGAGACACGGCCCAGACUCCUACGGGAGGCAGCAGUAGGGAAUCUUCCGCAAUGGACGAAAGUCUGACGGAGCAACGCCGCGUGAGUGAUGAAGGUCUUCGGAUCGUAAAACUCUGUUGUCAGGGAAGAACAAGUUGUGUUCUAACAGGACAUGACCUUGACGGUACCUGACCAGAAAGCCCCGGCUAACUACGUGCCAGCAGCCGCGGUAAUACGUAGGGGGCAAGCGUUGUCCGGAAUUAUUGGGCGUAAAGCGCGCGCAGGCGGUCCUUUAAGUCUGAUGUGAAAGCCCACGGCUUAACCGUGGAGGGUCAUUGGAAACUGAGGGACUUGAGUACAGAAGAGGAGAGUGGAAUUCCACGUGUAGCGGUGAAAUGCGUAGAGAUGUGGAGGAACACCAGUGGCGAAGGCGACUCUCUGGUCUGUAACUGACGCUGAGGUGCGAAAGCGUGGGUAGCAAACAGGAUUAGAUACCCUGGUAGUCCACGCCGUAAACGAUGAGUGCUAGGUGUCAGGGGGUUUCCGCCCCUUGGUGCUGGAGUUAACGCAUUAAGCACUCCGCCUGGGGAGUACGGCCGCAAGGCUGAAACUCAAAAGAAUUGACGGGGG